UGGAAAUCGUCGAGGAGAUGCUGUUGCCAUUUCAAGUUGACUGGGGUCUGCAACUGAGGAAAUCCAUGAUCCAAAUGCAAAAAGAGCGCUGUUAAUCAUUCAGAAGUCAUUGCCAUCCGUGGGGUAAGACAAGCUGGAAGAGUAUCAAUGAUUCUUUAUUCACUGAGAACUGAAGAAGCUUUUCAGAUUCAGCAAAAUGAUUGAGGUUUUAUCGCUGCUGGUAGUCAAGGCAUUGAAUGAGCAUUUAACUACAGUAUCACCAGGAGCUGACAUAUACUUAAUCAGAUACAAUCUGCAAACUCGCUUACACGUUCUGAGGAAUUUUGGUGUGGCUGAGAGCAAGAUUCAGAACAGAGUGUGUGACCUAAUGGUGGAGUGCGAACCCUUCAACAACUCCAACUCUCUACCAACUUGACAAUUAAAGCACUGAACAAGAUUGAAAUCAAGGCGGAUGAGAGCGGAAGAAAGCAACAACCUGGCACAUCAACAUACACAUGCAUUCUGCUGUUUCCCAUUCAAGAAAAAGGAAUGAACUUGCUCGCUCAGAGUAGAGCUAUCGCCUCACAGUGCGCUGCAGAUUGCAAGAAAAAAAAGGCACCAAUCAGCUUUCAUGAUCAGAAAUAAAUUGAAAGCAAAAGCACUCGGGGACAUAUAACUUUUGACUCUACAAAGAGAGCAGUCCAGCAAGUCACCAGCAGCAGCUGGCAUUACUCAGUGACCUCCAUCUUUGAAACUCUUGGCAUCUUGAUUCAUUGCACCUCUGACACGCGGUUACUGGAAAGAAAAGGUUUUCCUUUGUAAUCCUUGAACCUUCAGCAUUAAUCUCAGUAGAGCACAAUGAGUUCUCCUCCAAAAACCAAUAAACAAGGUCUCCGUUAAAUAGCACAGAGCAGAGCUUUCUUCUGUCUUCCAGAGAUAUAUGAUCCAUGUUACUUGUUAGGGCAUACGUAUAUAAGGGCGAUUGUGGAGUUCAGGCAUUGAAUAAGUUGUCUGUGCAGAAAAUUUAACACUACUUCAUAUUCUGCAUUCCUCCUGUGUGUAUAACAUGCAUAGCAAUACUUGAAUUAAUAUUGAGUCAGCUCAUAUAAUGUUGGAACUCAAAUUGAAAACCUGAACUGCUAACAAAUUCUAAACAGCAGCCUUAAAAUUUUGACACAAAAGCACUAUUAGCUUUUUGGUCUUUAAAAGGAGUGAAUGAAUGAUGUAUCAGCAGGGGAGGUUUAUCCCUUUCCUGUCAUUCUAAAAUGCUAAACCAAGAAAUGGCCUGGAUAUUAUUUUGAGAGUGAAAGAUAUAAACAUAUAAUACACAAGCAGAAAUUAUCAUUCUCUGAGAUAAGCCUCAAUUGUCCAUUCUGCUCUGUUGAACAGACACAGCCAUUACUGUUAAUGUCAGGCAAUUUAAAAUAGAUUUGAAGCUCAAUGGGAAGCUGAGUAAAAGGUCUUCUGUCCACUAAUCUCAGCCUUAUGUUCAGACAGGCUUUUGUAUUUGACCUUCAGAGUGACCUUGGUAAAGCAUCCCCUGAGGAAAUGCAUGCGACUUUCCCAACAUUGCUGCACCGAGGAUGCACAUAAAUCUCGCCAACUAAAGCAACAACAACAUUCAGCCACGAAUAUGGCUUUGGAUGAUCAGUGUUGAUGAUUAUUUAAGUACAGGUCCACGUCAGUUGCUGCUUUGUGAUAACCAAGAGUGUGCAAUUACACAAAUCUAUUUUACUUCUUUGGUUAUUGAUAAAUCUCAGUAUGGAAGAAUUAAAAUCAAUAGCAUUUUUUAAAUUACUAUGAAAUUAGACAGCACCACAAGCUAACCUUAUAGAAAUUCAGAGGGAGAGCCUGCAGUUUUACUGUUGGGGACUCUCUUUGUGUUGAUUUUCACUCCUAACAACAUACUAACGUAUUGUUCAGUUGCUUUGUUGCAUACCAUUUUUGCACCAACAGAGUAUUUUGAACUUGUCUUUUGAAAACUUCAAGUUUAAUUAGUCAUAAUAAAGUAGUAUAUGUUCUUUGAGGAGAGAGAGAAAGAGCUAACAUGACAUUUUAACCAAACUGACAAUCAGAAUUUGCCAAAAUAGUGACAAGUUUGUUUGUUGCAUUAUGUACUUAAUCAAUGUCUCCGGAUCAUUUUUUGAUAUUAAACCUCAUGCACUGGCAUCCCCUCCCUCCACACUGGGGUGCCUUCUCUCUUAUAUAUGAGACAGGCAUUUCCCGAGACAGUGAUGAAAGCUGGAAGCCUGUCAGCUGCUGGGAAUAUAAUUAUUUUGAGCUGUCGACCUUUCUCCCGACUAGGAAUCAGCUGUGAAAUAUCAGACUUGUAUGAUGCAAAUGCUUGGAUUUUGCCAAAAUACAGAGGGCUGAUGGCAGAUUCCCUCUCCCAAGCAGUUUAGUGAAUCAAAUACCAUUUUCAGAAAGUUCAGAAACUACUUUGUAUAUUUUCUGUUGCUAGCCCACAAAUUUUCCGAUUAGUUGAACUCAGGAUCACAAUAUGUGUGUUCUUAUGAAUCAUGAUAUCCGGCCACACCAGAGUUUUAACCACAGAUCCUCCAUAUCUAUCUCAGAAAACCUAGUAUGACUUUGUCAGGAGGACCAGAAUCCUCAGCAAAUGAUUUAAUGGUACUAUAACCAGUACAUUGUCACACAGUCAUUUAGAAAAUUGCAUUGAGAUAUAAUCCCGCAGCACUUGCGUUGCAUGGAUUAUAACAGCUUGCCAUUAAAAAUUUAUAUUGUGUAGGUGAUUGGUUCAAAUGCUCUAAAUCAAUGUGUUUGGAUCUUAUGAAGAAACAAUAUGUGAAGUAAUAGCUGACAGGAUCUGAAGCACAGUACUUAUACCACUAGGCUGGUUUCCAGAAUCCUGGGCUGUCAAACCAAAAAUAUCAGCUUUGUAGCAGUCAAAAGUAAAUUUGACUAAAUAACUCUAGAACUAAAAAGCUAGUAAUCAUGAAAUAUAUAAAUUGUUGUAAAGACAUUUUUGGAUGACUAAUCCAUUUCAGAGAUGUACAUAUAUUGUAGUUCAUACCAUCUACACCUCAUCUGGACAAUAUGUAUGUUCAGACCCUCUAAUAGAGUUGACAGUUAAUUGGCCCCUGAAACGGCCCAGCAAGCCAGUCAGUCCAGGUCUAUAAAGUGAUUUACAAUAUCUGGCUUUGCGAGUCAUAUCCACAUCCCUAUGGAAAUUAAAGGAAAUUGAAAACAAAUAAUUCCUAGCUAAAAUGAACUUCUCAAUAUCUCUAGGGGAACACAUUUUAAAUCUAUUUUCAUGAUAUAGAUUCAAAAUAUCAAUGUUCAUGGCAUAUAUAUUUCCAUGAUCUUGUAAUCGCAAGGUCAAAUAGUUACUUCUACUAAAGCUGUAUUUUUUUUAAGCAUUUCUAAACCAAGUUAUUGAAAUGCCAUGGUGGGAGAAGAACUCAUUUUACAAAAGUUGAAUAGUCCAGGCUUCUGGAUUACUGGUUCAAUACAGGUUGACCACCGAUUACCUGGCACCCUCGGUCCCCAAGCCUUGCCAGAUUAACGUUUUUGCUGGGUUAAAAGAGGUUACACAAUAAUAAUGGCAAAAAUAGACUGUACAAGCUUAAAAGGAUCACUAAUUAAACAAAAAUUAAAUGUAAAUUUAUUAAUUACUGUGCUUACAAAGAAUGUUGCUUCUCAGUUAUCUUUUUAAACAUUUCAUCCAAGACGAAGUUGUUUCAUGUGUUUUGAUCUCUCCCUGUGUAAUUUUUCUUGCACUAAUUAAAUUUUAUUAGCUCUUCUAUUCUAUCAUGAAGGUAUGUUUCUCUAACCUUUUGAUUAAAUGACCCAAUAACUCAAUUAACUUGUCAAUAGUUAAUCUUUGUUUCAUCAUCAUCACUGCCACCUUCAUUACUUACCAUGUUUUUGUCAGCAUUCAGAACACAGUUUAUAAUUUCUAAGUCCGUAAGGUGAUGCACAAUAGGU